rnacentral:rRNA from 1 species
AACGAACGCUGGCGGCGCGCCUAAUACAUGCAAGUCGAGCGAGAAGACGUAGCAAUACGUUUGCAAAGCGGCGAACGGGUGAGGAAUACAUGGGUAACCUACCCUCGAGUGGGGAAUAACUAGCCGAAAGGUUAGCUAAUACCGCAUACGACUCCUGGUCUGCGGAUCUGGAGGGAAAGCGAUACCGUGGGUAUCGCGCUCUUGGAUGGGCUCAUGUCCUAUCAGCUUGUUGGUGAGGUAACGGCUCACCAAGGCUUCGACGGGUAGCUGGUCUGAGAGGACGAUCAGCCACACUGGCACUGCGACACGGGCCAGACUCCUACGGGAGGCAGCAGUAAGGAAUAUUGCGCAAUGGGCGACAGCCUGACGCAGCGACGCCGCGUGGGGGAUGAAGGUCUUCGGAUUGUAAACCCCUUUCGGCAGGGAAGAUGGAACGGGUAACCGUUCGGACGGUACCUGCAGAAGCAGCCACGGCUAACUUCGUGCCAGCCGCCGCGGUAACAC